rnacentral:lncRNA from 1 species
AUUUCCCGCAGGAACAAUGGCGCUGUCUUCAGUGGCACAGCGGAGCAGUUCUGUGAAGAUGCAAAGAUACACGAAAAAAAUUCCAGAACAUCUGGGAGAAUAUUUAAUGGAAAAUCGCUUGGUUAAAACCUGACACUUAACAGGUAUGUGUUGUUUUAGUACUUUAUGAUUGAGCAUAGCAUUUAAUCCACACCUAGACUAAACCGAAUUUUUUUUGUCAUUGAACAGCAUUCUGAGUGUGGACGAGUAGCCAGUGAAGAUAAUGAAUGUCGGAUGUCACUGACUAGCAGCUUCAUUUUGAAUGAGGGUCGCUGUCUGCCCAUUGAUAGAGGCCAGAUUGUCUUGGAAGUUCCAAAGUUGCAACGAUUUCUGUAAGUGGAGUUUUUCUGUUUGCUUAGAGAUUAGUGAAUAUCGUGUCCUUGGUCUUAUCUGUGAUGAUCUUAUCCCGAACCUGAACUUCUGUUGA